rnacentral:lncRNA from 10 species
AAUCAGAAAAUUUUCUCUAAUAAGCUUUCAUAGAAGAGUUUUCCAAAUAAAAUGAAGAGGGCUAUCAUGGCAUAUCAAGUUUCUCUAAUUUUCAGGAAACAAAGAUACUAAUUUGCUUUACUCUUAGGGAUUCUUAAAAGGCCUCUUUUCUAACUGCAUAUUUAGAAUAUAUAAUCAGAGGACCAACGUUCAAUAUCUUUUUUUGUGCCAUCACUUUAAAAAGUGCAGCCAUGCUCCCCACUUAACUAUCUGGAGUUGAGAAAUGAUCUGGGAGUUGGCCCAGAAAUAGUGUGAACAGCUAGAGCCAAUAUUGACAAAUCCUUAUUCUGCAACCCCACAAGUUUCUCUCCUAGGUAAGCUCAUGGGGCUCUCAAUCAUACCCUGUCAUUCUUACUUCAGACACUAGUCCCACUUCUUUGGUUAUCUGUAUUCUGAGUCCACAAAUCAGAGGCAUCCAGUUGAAAAAGCUGAAAGCUUCUAGAAUGGCACUAUCCAAUAUGGUAGCCAGUGGCCCCCUGUGGCUACUGUGCACUUAAAAUGUGGCCAGUCCUAACUGCAACGUGCUGUAAGUACAAACUACACAUCAGAUUUUUAAAGACUUAAUAUGGAAAUAAAAGACUGUAAAAUAAUUUUUUAUAGUGGAAGCAUAUUGAAAUAAUAUUUUAUAUAUAUUGGGUUAAAUAUACUAGUAAAGUUAAUUUUGCUGGUUUCUUUUUAUGAUGCUGAUUAUUUUUUGAGACAGGGUCUCACUCUGUCACCCAGGCUAGAGUGCAGUGACACGAUCAUGGCUCACUGCAGCCUCAACCUUCUGGGCUCAAGCGAUCCUCCCACCUUAGCCUCCCGAGUAGCUGGGACUACAGGCACAUGCCACCACACUUGGUUAAUUUUUUAUAUCUUUUUUGGUAGAGAUGGGGUUUAGCCAUGUUGCCCAGGCUGGUCUCAAACUCCUGGGCUCAAGUGAUCUGCCCACCUUGGUCUUCCAAACUGCUGGUAUUACAUGUAUGAGCCACUGCACUUGGCCUAUUAUUAUUUUUAAUAUGGCUACUAGAAUUUUUAAAAUUAUAUAUGUGGCUUGCAUUACAUUCUUAUUGGCAGUGCACUUCUAGAAGCAGGCCUACUCAUCAUUCAUUCAUUUAGUGAAUCAACAAAUAUUUAUUGGGUAUCUUUUGUGUGUUUGUUGCAGGGCUAGGGGUAAGAAUGCAGCAGUGAACAUGGUUCCUGCACUCAUGAAGCAAAUGUAUCCACUGUGGUACAAAAGAGACUGUAAAAAACAAACCCAAAUGGACAACAGGAAAAGACAGAAGCUGAUUGAGGUCCCAGCUUGGUAACAGUUUGAAGAGUUGCAGGACUGGCUGGAUGAGUACUGGCUGCAGCAAAUCAGGCUGCCAGGAUUCUUUAUGGCUGUUUCUGCUUCCACUACAGCUGAGUCAGAAAGGUCGCUGCCCCGUGGUGGCACUAGACGCAGUGGACCUGGCAAGCAAAUGUUUCCGCUAUUAGCUCUCAGCAACAGAGACUCAUUUAUGGUCACCUUGGAAAUCUGGGCUUAUCGAUCUACAGCCCAAGUCUGCUGAGAAGCUGGAGCUUACUAAAGGGGAAACCUGAGAGCUGUUCAAGCCCCAAAUAUUUUCCACUUCUGCGUCACCUCUGCUGUCUGUUAGCAGAGUGGAGGAGAAAAUACACAGCACAAACAACGUGAAAAAAUAGUUACUCUAUUCAUUAAAAGCUGUAACUUCCAGAUUGGACUUGAGAAGCAAUUAAGCAACAGAGGAACCUCAUCUACUAUCUGUAUUCAGGCAUGCUCAUGAGAACACGCUGCUCCAGCUGGACUUAGAGGAACCCGGUGCAUCACAGGCAUUCCUGACAGAGUCUCGUGGUCCUGCUGGUCCACUCAGUGGUACUCAGUCCUCCUCAUUCUCGGGGAUAGGUUCCAAGACCCCCAGGGGAUGCCUGAAACUGCGGAUGGUACCGAACCCUACAUAUAUUAUGUUUUUUUCCUAUACAUACAUACCUAUGAUAAAGCUUAAUUUACAAAUUAGAUAGAGUAAGAGAUUAACAACAAUUACAGCAAUAUACUGAAAUAAAAGUUAUGUGAAUGUGGUCUCUCUCUCUCUCUCUGAAUAUCAUAUUGUAAGUAAUACUUUCAAACCAUGGGUAACUAAAGCAGCUGAAAGUGAUACCUUGGAUCAGGCAGGGCCACUGUCCUGGCUCCCUCUUCCCCACUAGCGCCUUUCUUCCACGUAUAUAGUCAAGACAAGAUUUAAGUGGUGUUUUUCCAUAACGCCUCCCACAAAUGCUCCAGCCUGAAACUGAUUUCUCUUUUCUGAUCUUUAUAGUCCUGUAGUUAGUCAUUCUUAAAGUUCUGUGCAUAUGCUGCAUUCUAUUAUUCAGCCAUGCAGGGCUAUGUCCUGUCAUUAAGAACAGAGGAACAAGCCAGAUCUCUGUAGUCCCAUAACUAAUAUCAUGCCUGGAAUAUAGUGAGUGCUCUUCAAACAUUUCAUAGGUCCUUUUAGAGGUCCUGGGGCAUAGUCAACUUUGGAAGCAUUCAACCAUAAUGAAUUUUAAAUAAAAAUAUAUGAAAAAAAAUUUUUUUAAGCCCCCAAUCUCUGAGCCCAGGAAUUCAAGACCAGCCUAGACGGCAUAGUGAGACCCUGUCUCCACAAAAAAUAAAAAAUAGGGCCGGGCACGGUGGUAUAUGCCUGUAAUCCCAGCACUUUGGGAGACCAAGGCAGGUGGAUCAUUUGAGGUCAGGAGUUCAAGAUCAGCCUGGCCAACAUGGUGAAACCCCAUUUCUACCAAAAAUACAAAAAUUAGCCAGAUGUGGUGGCACACGUCUGUAGUCCCAGCUACUUGGGAGGCUCAGGGAGGAGAAUCUCUUGAGCCUGGGAAGUGGAGGUUGCAGUGAGCUGAGAUUAUGCCACUGUACUCCAGCCUGGGCAACAGAGUGAGACCUUGUCUCAAAAUAAAAUAAAAUAAUAAAAUAAUUCCCCAAAUAUUUUUCUAGCCUUUUAAAAGAUACGUAUUAUGUACUGAAAAAACAACAACAACAACUAGUUUUUCUGUCAGAAUUGUUGUCAAAUACAGGAAACAAUUCAAAUAUCAAAACAUUAAUCAAGAUAAUCUGUGAGUAUGUUCACACACAUGCACAAAUACAAACACGCAAAGCCACACAAACAUCCUAUUACCAAGCGGCUGUGAUUCACUGCAGGGCACAGUGUGUCUCCUGUAUAUGCAGCAAAAUUGCGGACCUCUCGCAAAAGCCUGUGAAGGAGGAGAUAUCUCUAACCUCACAAAUGCUAGCAUUUUGAUGAGUUUUCACUGAAUUUAGCAAACUUUUAGUCUCCUUUAUCCCCAUCUGCCAAGUGAAGAUAUUCUUAUACUUAAUAUUCUUCUCUAAGGUUUUGAAUAGAAAGAAAUAUUGCUACACAUUUUUCUGAAGUCCUUUUCUCUUAUAGGUGAAAUGCCAUCACAUCCUUCAUACUCAUAUUUUUAGGACCAUAGGAGACCCAAUAUAUCUGUCUGUAUUGCAAUAAAUUACAAGGCUUUGACCAAAGACCCAGUUCCUAACUGACUGCUCUUGAAGCCAGCUCCACUGCAGAAUUAAGGAACAGAGAUGAGACUUGUCUGACAUGGGGAACUGUCACAGGAUAAUACCUUUGAAAAGCCUGGUUUUAGAACUUGCCUCUCUCAAUUUGAGGCAGUGUAUGUUUUUAAGUUUCUAAAAAUAAGAUAUUAUAAGAUUUGUAACAUUACAAUGACUGCCAAUGCAAAGAACCUCUGGGACUCUAGUGCAUCAGUGGAAUAUCAGCACAUUGAUGGACAUGUGGACUAUUUGGAUUCAGAAGACCUGGUUUGAGCUCAUCUCUGCUGCCAACUGUCUGUGUGACCUUAAGUAAAAUUAUCUCCUCUCUCUGAACCUCUGAUUCCUCUUUUGUAAAAUGAGGAAGAUGAUGAUACUUGUUUUACAACAAGUGAUUGUGAGGCACACGGGAUGCUAGCCACAAAAGCGUUUCAUAGUUGACGUGUUAGUUACUCAUUAGUAGUUCAAGUAGUGUUGCUCUGCUGCAGUGGUCCUCAAACUUCAGUGUGCAUCAGGAUCACCUGGAGGGCGGGUUAAACUGCACAUUGCUGAGCCACACCUCCAGAGAUUCCAAUUCAGCAGGUCUGGAGGGUGCCUGAGACUUUGUCUUUCUAGCAAGUUCUCAGGUGAUGCUGAAGCUGCUGGUCUAAGAUUGCACUUUGAGAACCACUGCUCUACUGAAAUUCCCAGCCAUUUUCCUUCUUACCUCAUGAUGAAUUCCUUAAAGCAUAACCUCAACUUGUUGUGAUGUCGAUAGAGUUUUGGAUCAGCAGGAAUUUCAGCCAAAAACACUUGG